rnacentral:lncRNA from 1 species
AAUCAGAGCCUCAUUGUCAAAGAGGCCUUGCCCGGGCUCAUCUGGGACCUGGGCCAGCAGCUGGGAGACCUGAGCCUGGAGUCUGGGGGCCUGGAACAGGAGAGUGGGCGCAGCUCAGGUGAGCGUGCGUGCGUGGAGGGAGCAGGGUCUGCCUGGGCCACUCCCAUCGUGUUCCUACUGCCCACUACCGUGCAGGUUUCCCUGUCUCCACCUCUUGGUCUCUUCCUUUCCCCAUCCCUGGUUGCCCCGUCCAGGCCCCUGAUUGUCUCUCCUCCUCUCCCUGGAAUCCAGGCUUCUAUGAAGACCCCAGCUCCACGGGAGGUCCAGACUCACCACCCUCUACCUUCUGUGGGGACAGUGGCUUCUCUGGAUCUGGCUCCUAUGGACGCCUGGGUCCCUCGGAACCCCGGGGCAUCUAUGCCAGCGAGAGGCCCAAGUCCCUAGGUAAGGUGGGUGGGGUUGGGGCCCUGAGAACCAGGGAAUGGGCAGUAAGAGAAUGGUUUUGAGCACAAGCUUCUGAGUCACGCUGACCUGGAUUCAAACCCUGGCUGUGACAUUCCCUCUUCGUGUAAUUUUGAGCAUGUUGCUUCUUUCGGGGCCUCUGUUUGUCCACCUGUUAAAUGGGAUUAAUAACAGCACCUACCUCGUAGGGAAGUUUUGCGUAUUCAGUGAGCCUCGGCCCCCCCUAACUGCCAUUGGACUUGGCACUUGGUAGCCACUCGUAAACAGCAACUGUUGUUGUUCCUUUAUACAAGUAAGUUUCUGAGCCCCUACUAUGUGCCAGCCUAGCUCUGUUUUAGUGGUGACGGAUGCGACAGUGAAAAAAAAAAAUCCCUGUCCUCAUACAGCUGACUUUCCAGUGGGAGAAAAGGAUCAUAUACAAGAUAAAUAAGAUAUAGACAUAGAGGAUGAGAAGAAAGUUAGGGAAGGGGGUUAGGAAGGACAAUCCCUUUUGAGUUGGGAGGAAGUUGCAAUUUUAGAAGACAUGGCUAGGGAGGGUGUCACUGAGACUCUGACAUUUGAGUGGCACCCCGAAGUAAGUGAUGGGAGUGUGCCAAGGAGAUAGCCUCAGGGAACAGUGUCCCAGGUAGCGGGAACAGCAAGUGCAAAGGCCCUGAGGCUCCUCCCUGAGGAACGUGACUGGCGUGUGCUUCCAGGAGGUCAGUGGAGCUGGAGACCUAGAAUU